rnacentral:rRNA from 1 species
GUGCCAGCAGCCGCGGUAAGACGUAGGAUGCAAGCGUUGUCCGGAAUUAUUGGGCGUAAAGAGUUCGUAGGCGGUUAAAUAAGUCUGGUGUUAAAUACUGGUGCUCAACGCCAGCAUGGCAUUGGAAACUGUUUAACUAGAGUGCGGUAGAGGUCACGGGAAUUCCUGGUGUAGCGGUGAAAUGCGUAGAUAUCAGGAGGAACACCGGUGGCGAAAGCGCGUGGCUGGGCCGUAACUGACGCUGAGGAACGAAAGCUAGGGUAGCAAAAGGGAUUAGAUACCCCUGUAGUCC